rnacentral:rRNA from 2 species
GAUGACGCUGGCGGCGUGCCUAAUACAUGCAAGUCGAACGAGUUCUGAUUAUUGAAAGGUGCUUGCAUCUUGAUUUAAUUUUGAACGAGUGGCGGACGGGUGAGUAACACGUGGGUAACCUGCCCUUAAGUGGGGGAUAACAUUUGGAAACAGAUGCUAAUACCGCAUAAAUCCAAGAACCGCAUGGUUCUUGGCUGAAAGAUGGCGUAAGCUAUCGCUUUUGGAUGGACCCGCGGCGUAUUAGCUAGUUGGUGAGGUAACGGCUCACCAAGGCAAUGAUACGUAGCCGAACUGAGAGGUUGAUCGGCCACAUUGGGACUGAGACACGGCCCAAACUCCUACGGGAGGCAGCAGUAGGGAAUCUUCCACAAUGGACGCAAGUCUGAUGGAGCAACGCCGCGUGAGUGAAGAAGGCUUUCGGGUCGUAAAACUCUGUUGUUGGAGAAGAAUGGUCGGCAGAGUAACUGUUGUCGGCGUGACGGUAUCCAACCAGAAAGCCACGGCUAACUACGUGCCAGCAGCCGCGGUAAUACGUAGGUGGCAAGCGUUAUCCCGGAUUUAUUGGGCGUAAAGCGAGCGCAGGCGGUUUUUUAAGUCUGAUGUGAAAGCCCUCGGCUUAACCGAGGAAGUGCAUCGGAAACUGGGAAACUUGAGUGCAGAAGAGGACAGUGGAACUCCAUGUGUAGCGGUGAAAUGCGUAGAUAUAUGGAAGAACACCAGUGGCGAAGGCGGCUGUCUGGUCUGUAACUGACGCUGAGGCUCGAAAGCAUGGGUAGCGAACAGGAUUAGAUACCCUGGUAGUCCAUGCCGUAAACGAUGAAUGCUAGGUGUUGGAGGGUUUCCGCCCUUCAGUGCCGCAGCUAACGCAUUAAGCAUUCCGCCUGGGGAGUACGACCGCAAGGUUGAAACUCAAAGGGAAUUGACGGGGGCCCGCACAAGCGGUGGAGCAUGUGGUUUAAUUCGAAGCAACGCGAAGAACCUUACCAGGUCUUGACAUCUUUUGAUCACCUGAGAGAUCAGGUUUCCCCUUCGGGGGCAAAAUGACAGGUGGUGCAUGGUUGUCGUCAGCUCGUGUCGUGAGAUGUUGGGUUAAGUCCCGCAACGAGCGCAACCCUUAUGACUAGUUGCCAGCAUUUAGUUGGGCACUCUAGUAAGACUGCCGGUGACAAACCGGAGGAAGGUGGGGAUGACGUCAAAUCAUCAUGCCCCUUAUGACCUGGGCUACACACGUGCUACAAUGGAUGGUACAACGAGUUGCGAGACCGCGAGGUCAAGCUAAUCUCUUAAAGCCAUUCUCAGUUCGGACUGUAGGCUGCAACUCGCCUACACGAAGUCGGAAUCGCUAGUAAUCGCGGAUCAGCACGCCGCGGUGAAUACGUUCCCGGGCCUUGUACACACCGCCCGUCACACCAUGAGAGUUUGUAACACCCGAAGCCGGUGGCGUAACCCUUUUAGGGAGCGAGCCGUCUAAGGUGGGACAAAUGAUUAGGGUAAGUCGAUCAGU